AGUGAACGCUGGCGGUAGGCCUAACACAUGCAAGUCGAACGGCAGCACAGUAAGAGCUUGCUCUUACGGGUGGCGAGUGGCGGACGGGUGAGGAAUACAUCGGACUCUACUUUUUCGUGGGGGAUAACGUAGGGAAACUUACGCUAAUACCGCAUACGACCUACGGGUGAAAGCAGGGGAUCUUCGGACCUUGCGCGAUUGAAUGAGCCGAUGUCGGAUUAGCUAGUUGGCGGGGUAAAGGCCCACCAAGGCGACGAUCCGUAGCUGGUCUGAGAGGAUGAUCAGCCACACUGGAACUGAGACACGGUCCAGACUCCUAAGGGAGGCAGCAGUGGGGAAUAUUGGACAAUGGGCGCAAGCCUGAUCCAGCCAGACCGCGUGGGUGAAGAAGGCCUUCGGGUUGUAAAGACCUUUUGUUGGGAAAGAAAAGCAGCAGGUUAAUACCCCGCUGUUCUGACGGUACCCAAAGAAUAAGCACCGGCUAACUUCGUG
rnacentral:rRNA from 1 species